rnacentral:rRNA from 1 species
UACGGAGGAUCCAAGCGUUAUCCGGAUUUAUUGGGUUAAAGGGUGCGUAGGCGGCCUGUUAAGUCAGGGGUGAAAGACGGUAGCUCAACUAUCGCAGUGCCCUUGAUACUGAUGGGCUUGAAUGGACUAGAGGUAGGCGGAAUGUGACAAGUAGCGGUGAAAUGCAUAGAUAUGUCACAGAACACCGAUUGCGAAGGCAGCUUACUAUGGUCUUAUUGACGCUGAGGCACGAAAGCGUGGGAUAAACAGG